rnacentral:piRNA from 1 species
UACAGUUGCAUGGAGCUGCUUAAGAUCUGA